ACUGAACGCUGGCGGCAUGCCUUACACAUGCAAGUCGAACGGCAGCACGGGAGCAAUCCUGGUGGCGAGUGGCGAACGGGUGAGUAAUAUAUCGGAACGUGCCCAGUCGUGGGGAUAACGUAGCGAAAGCUACGCUAAUACCGCAUACGAUCUAUGGAUGAAAGCGGGGGAUCGCAAGACCUCGCGCGAUUGGAGCGGCCGAUAUCAGAUUAGGUAGUUGGUGAGGUAAAGGCUCACCAAGCCGACGAUCUGUAGCUGGUCUGAGAGGACGACCAGCCACACUGGGACUGAGACACGGCCCAGACUCCUACGGGAGGCAGCAGUGGGGAAUUUUGGACAAUGGGCGCAAGCCUGAUCCAGCAAUGCCGCGUGCAGGAUG
rnacentral:rRNA from 1 species